CCUACGGGGGGCAGCAGUGAGGAAUAUUGGUCAAUGGACGCAAGUCUGAACCAGCCAUGCCGCGUGCAGGAAGACGGCUCUAUGAGUUGUAAACUGCUUUUGUACGAGGGUAAAUCCCGAUACGUGUAUCUGGUUGAAAGUAUCGUACGAAUCAGGAUCGGCUAACUCCGUGCCAGCAGCCGCGGUAAUACGGAGGAUUCAAGCGUUAUCCGGAUUUAUUGGGUUUAAAGGGUGCGUAGGCGGUUCGAUAAGUUAGAGGUGAAAUCCCGGGGCUCAACUCCGGCACUGCCUCUGAUACUGUCGGUCUAGAGGUUAGGUGAGGUAGGCGGAAUGUAUGGUGUAGCGGUGAAAUGCAUAGAUAUCAUGCAGAACACCGAUUGCGAAGGCAGCUUACCAAACUACAACUGACGUUGAGGCACGAAAGCGUGGGGAGCAAACAGGAUUAGAUACCCGUGUAGUC
rnacentral:rRNA from 1 species